GCACGUCGGCCCGGACGGUUAAGGAGCAGUCUGCAAAACUGUUAUUUAAAGUGGGUUCGACUCCCACGGCGUGCUCCA
rnacentral:tRNA from 1 species